UACGUAGGUGGCAAGCGUUGUCCGGAAUUACUGGGUGUAAAGGGAGCGUAGGCGGGAUUGUAAGUUGGAUGUGAAAACUAUCGGCUCAACCGGUAGAGUGCAUUCAAAACUGCGGUUCUUGAGUGAAGUAGAGGCAGGCGGAAUUCCUAGUGUAGCGGUGAAAUGCGUAGAUAUUAGGAGGAACACCAGUGGCGAAGGCGGCCUACUGGGCUUUACUGACGCUGAGGCUCGAAAGCAUGGGUAGCAAACAGGAUUAGAUACCCUGGUAGU
rnacentral:rRNA from 1 species